UACGUAGGGGGCACGCGUUGUCCGGAAUCAUUGGGCGUAAAGAGCGUGUAGGCGGCUCGAUAAGUCCGCUCUGAAAGUCCAGGGCUCAACCCUGGGAUGCGGGUGGAUACUGUCGGGCUCGAGUCCGGAAGAGGCGAGUGGAAUUCCCGGUGUAGCGGUGAAAUGCGCAGAUAUCGGGAGGAACACCAAUGGCGAAGGCAGCUCGCUGGGAAGUGACUGACGCUGAGACGCGAAAGCGUGGGGAGCAAACAGG
rnacentral:rRNA from 1 species